rnacentral:rRNA from 1 species
CAGUAGCCGCGGUAAUACAGAGGGUGCGAGCGUUAAUCGGAUUUACUUGGCGUAAAGCGUGCGUAGGCGGCUAAUUGAGUCGGAUGUGAAAUCCCCGAGCUUAACUUGGGAAUUGCAUUCGAUACUGGUUAGCUAGAGUGUGGGAGAGGAUGGUAGAAUUCCAGGUGUAGCGGUGAAAUGCGUAGAGAUCUGGAGGAAUACCGAUGGCGAAGGCAGCCAUCUGGCCUAACACUGACGCUGAGGUACGAAAGCAUGGGGAGCAAACAGGAUUAGAUACCCCCGUAGUCCCUGUCUCUUAUAC